GAAAUGCGAUAAGUAAUGUGAAUUGCAGAAUUCAGUGAAACAUCGAAUCUUUGAACGCACAUUGCGCCCGCCAGUAUUCUGGCGGGCAUGCCUGUUCGAGCGUCAUUACAACCCUCAGGCCCCCGGGCCUGGCGUUGGGGAUCGGCGGAAGCCCCCUGCGGGCACAACGCCGUCCCCCAAAUACAGUGGCGGUCCCGCCGCAGCUUCCAUUGCGUAGUAGCUAACACCUCGCAACUGGAGAGCGGCGCGGCCACGCCGUAAAACACCCAACUUCUGAAUGUUGACCUCGAAUCAGGUAGGAAUACCCGCUGAACUUAAGC
rnacentral:misc_RNA from 1 species